CACAUCCUGUCCAUGGUGAAGAUGGGAUGCACUGCUAGUUAGAAGGCUACUGUCCUCUCUUCAGCAUCGGAAGAGUGACCGGUGUUAACAGAGGAGGCCGACUGAUGGACAUCCACCUUUGUUCUUUCAAAUCUUGGUUGCCUGGGAAUUCUGAAAGCUGACCAUAGUUCUCAUUUUCUAUGUGGCAACCAUAUUCUCAACUAGGAUGUGGAAACCUCUAAGACGAUGCAGUUUGUACACAGGGCCACAGAAGAACUACUCUCAUUAUUUGGUGAGUCUCUUCAAACAGGUUUGGAGUUUUUUGAAGAGAGAGAAACUAGUACACGUCUUACAUUUCCAAAAUGAUGCAUGAUGCUUGGUGAACGAUGAGCACUUAGAUCCUGCUUUCCUUGAUAUAAGGAAAUGUUCAGAAUCAUUAGCAUCCUAUGGGAGCUAUCUUCCGCCAUAGUAGUAUGAUGACUCAGCAUAAAAAAGGGUAAUGUUUUAUAGAUUUAACACACAGUCAAGUCAGCCAGCACCACCCUGAGCAGUCUCUACAUUGCAGAGAAGAGUGGAACAGAAAACCAUGUCAGAUUCCUGUGAUACAUGUGUCCUGUUAGAGGUGGUAGGCAGACACCGAUAGAGACAAGCGGCCCCCCAGCUCAGCACUGUGAUUUGUCCCUUACUUAAUUACAAUAGGGUGCAUGCUCACUAUGACUUGUCACCAAGGGACAUUGUAUUCAAUCAGCUCUAUUAUGUCGCUUGUGUUCAGUCGGGGUACUAAAGGAAGAUGGAACCAAGUUCCACAUUAGCUGUGUCCCCAACUGAGAAUCAGUUGGGAACACAUGCUGCACGUAAUCCCAGAAUCAACUGUAAAUGUGCUGCGGCCUGCCUUCCUGGGUGCUCACACCUUUGGCUUUUAGUUUUAAGCUUCCUGUGAUUUUUGCCCUUGUAGGUAACUCAGUACCCAAAGGCAUCAGUACACUGAAGUUACCUGUUAAAUGUUAAUUUAGAGCACUUAUUUAUGUGUACCUGUCAAUGUGUCAUGCAUAGCUCUAAUUACUGAUUAAUUAGGUCUCAUUGGAUAGAACAGGGAAGGUAGCUUAUCCAGUGAGUACUUUCCUUGAUUCCCAAAACAUGCAUAUAAGGCAGUGCUUCUUGGUGGGUACUUUUAAUUCUAGCAUUAGGAAAUUAAGAGACACAUCAUGGACUGCUGGUGCUUACCAGCCAGCGAGAUAGGCCAGAGUUUCAGACCAGUUAGAGAUGCCGCCUAUAAAUAAAUGAGUAAAUCACACACACACGCACACACACACACACACACCCCACAGACAUACUGAAAAUCAACUAUGUCCUAUCACAAAACCAUCCCAUUUCUUAAAACACAGGAAACAGAAUUCUCAUGUACUUCAUCCCCCUUAUUUCCGUGAUAAGGCCAAUAGUAAGAGUGUAUUUGCUUGUGUGUCCUUGUGAAAUGUGAAAUAUUGGCAUAAAGAUGGUCAGAAAGCCUGCUGUACAUGAAUGCCCAGGGUACCGAACACAUCUUCCUAUUAUUACAUAAGGACGUGGAGCACUUUGGAAAGUGCUAUAGAGCUCAUGGAUCCAGGAAUAGAGACAAAUAUAAACUGGCCACCUUCUGCUCUUAGAAGCAUGGACUUGAAGCCCCUCUUCAGGACUUCAGUCAUAAAACACGGACAACUCUAUAACUCUAUUCUUCUUUCCUAUUUCAAUACCUACUCCCUAAUACUCCAUGGGGUUAAAAUAAGAUUCUAGGAAUUUAAACAACAUGAUCCUAUAGAAGACAGGAAGGCAAAGAGGAAGGUAAGGUAGGGAAGAGGAAGCGUUAGGAGCAAUCAGAGGAGGGGCAGACAAAAGGAUGAAGGCAGUGCUUCAUUCACAUUGAAAACAGGCCAGCUAAUUUUUGCUUAUGAAUAGCUGUGAGAAAUUUAAAUGAAAAGUGUAUUGAAAGAUGGCCACAAUGGCAUUCGGGAGCAGUAUACAUGCAUUUCCGUCGUGUAGGAUUUAUAAUAAUUUCCUGCAAUGCAGAAACCACUUCCAAAUAUUUGAGAAGCAGGCAAGGGAGGAGAGAGUGACUUAGCACCUGUUGAUCUAGGUGGAGACUGGGCCCUGACAAGAGAUUAAAUGACAGAUUUCAGCUCCAUGUGAUGAGAACCUUUAUUAAACAUAUAGCUAUCCAGCCAUGGGAAAGAUCAUCACAGGAAAUGAGAACCCCUGGAGAUUAGAUAUGUGCAGGGAAAGGUCAGCUGACAACUUGUCACAGAUGUCAUAUAAAAAAUCCUUGCCUUGCUUGUCAGGGUCACUAGGUAAUAACCAAGGCCUCGUCUGAAUGUUUCCAUUGUAAAAUACCAUUAACCUGUGAAGACGUAAAUGCACAGAAAUAGAAAGAGCUUGAAGGCUGACUGAUAGGAGAUGAAUAAUCAAGACAUUAAUAGUUUUUUUCCUGCCACUAAAAAUACAUGAUGGUUCACUAACUCAAGAAAGCAAAGAACAACGCAAUCAGAAAAUGUUCCUGCAUCUACUUAUAGGGUUUUUUUCAACCUAGUCCAUUUUAAUAAGAUAAAUGAGUACAGGGAAAUUUUAAAAAUCAGUAUUAAAUUUAGUUACUGAGUGGGCUAAAGGCCUUAUGAAAAAAACCAUUCUUUAAAUACAGCCACAAUGACUAGGUGAUGGGAAUAGAGUAAUAGACACAAUCAAGUUAGGUCUAAGCAAAAUAAUAGUCCAGUAAUUUUAUGUAAGUAUUUUGCUUUGAAUUUAUAUAAUAAAUCUAAAAUGAUAAAUAUAGAUAUAAAAUAAUCUAGUAUAGAUUAUUACUUAUUUGAACUAGCAUAUACAUAUGAUGUGUGUGUGUGUGUGUGUGUGUGUGUGUGUGUGCAUGCACGUGCACAUGAGCAUGCGCCUGCACUUGCUGCAGGUGUGUAUGAUAUCUAUAGCUUUGGUCUCAGAUCAAGCCAAAGAGAAACAUUUAAAAAGUAUAUUCCAAUUCAUCUUUCAAUUUCAGCUACUCUGUUUGGAUUAUGUCUUUCAAAGUAUCCAAAAGUAAGCAACUUUGUAUCAUUUGCUCCAACACAAAGGCUUUACCUUGCCCUGGAGAGUCCAUAUAAAUGCUUGUUGCUGUUCAGAGAAGCAUGCCUUUACAGAGUGGAACAGAUCAGGCCCACCCACAGUCACUAAGUGCCCUCCACACAAACUUGACAUGUUCACUUAGAUUCAACACAGAAUCUCCAGCAGAAAAAUCCUGAAGGUUAGUGCAAAAAAUAAUGUAUAGACAGACUCAAACUAAUGAUCAGGAUGAUUCCUCUUAAAAAUAUGGUUAAGUUUGGGGAAAAAUGACAUCUACUUUGCCUUAUAGUAUUGAUUUAAUAGGAAAACAUUAAUAAUUAAUUUAUCAUUCACAUAUUGAUGAUGAAAAAUGGAAAAGACAUUUGCAUUUGUCGAAGUUCUUGUGUAAUAUUUUUGUGUCUUUUGACAUACUAUCUAUCGCCAAUGGUCAUGGGACUAUAAGGCAAAAACCCUGCUUUCUUAGUCUUGUUUCGUCAGGGUUAUGGCAAAACUACCAAAUGCUGACCAUUUUCUAUGGGAGGAAACCUGCAUGGUGACAUUUACAUUUAUUAUGGACCAUUUUUCUUUAGCCACGGGGGUAAUUUUUUAGUCCAGAAGAGCAGCAUGGGUGGAGCACUAACUCAUGGGGAAACGAAGACACAUGUGUGGGAGCCACACCCCAUUCAUGUGGGCCAGAGCAUCUCAACCUUAAGAGGAAGAAGAAUCAACAGCCAGGUCUACCUUGACAAAACAAAGUAAAGCACACUUGUAUUGUGUUACCUUUACUAACUGCACAGACAGCUCUAGAUUAUCCCAAUGUCCUUUCAUUUCUUUUUUUUAUUGUUUUAAAUUAGUUAAAUAAAAAUCGUGGUGAUUCCUUACCAAACCUGAAGUGAAUUUUCACAGUUCAAAAACAUUCAGAAAUGUAUUAAGACCAUUUAAAGUAUUUUUGAGAUGAACAUAAUUACAAUGUUUCUCUUCUCUUUUUCUCCAAACCCUCCCAUGUAUCAGUCUUCUUUUCCUUGCUAAACAUUUAGCCAGAGGUAGGAGCAUCCAACUGGUGACUAUUAACUUUAAUCUAAGGUUAAAUUUAGAAGACCAGCAUGCACUUUUGCCAAGAUUAUUAAGGCUCCUAAAAUGGAGUAUGCCCUGCUUUCACCUCAACACCUAUUACAAGGUUAUUAAUGUAACCCUGUUCUGUGCUAGUCAAGGAUGAUAGCAAAUGGUAGCAAAAUAACCAUAUUCACAUUUGUCAUAAACUAUAUAGGGCAGAUGGCAAAGAGCCAUGACAUUCCUUUACCUUGACCUAAAUAGAAAUACAGAGUCCAUUUUCCAUUAGGAUUUGAAACCGUAACCUCUGGCAGCAUGAAAUUUUAAUUUAUGAAAGAAAAAGCCUUAAGCCAUGAAUCUGAGCAGGUUACAGCUGGUUAUAUGAAUAUCAAAAUUGCACAAUUUUCUAAAAAUAGAUGCAUUUAACUUCUUCUCCACAAAAGCUAUGGCUUUUUCUGGGGACUGAGUUCUAAUGAGACAUUAUGCUUGUAGAUCAUGAGUGCAGGCUUCAAAACUAAAAUUCACUACAAAGUUAUUACAAGACAAAGUUACAUGGACCUGGGUCAUUUCUAUUUCUAUUGCAUCUCAUUUGUAUUCAUCAUCCAGCUUAUAAAAAUUCUGGAAUUGCACAGUUUAUCUCCAAACUUCUAGUUACUAAUAUACAUGUUAAAAUUGUAUGAACCGUCAAGGGUAAAACACUAACCCAUCGGACAUAGUUGGAGCUUGGACUUUGGAAAACCACCCAACAGCAAAAUGUUCUGUGGUAAAGAGGCACGCAAUGAUGAUGGAUCAUGUGUC